UACAAUUGUAUAAUGUUUUUUUUUUUAUCAAUGUAGACGUAUUGAUAGGUAAAUUAUUUUGUAUCAUUGAUGGUUUCUUGGAUUUAUGAAAUGAUGCUGAAAUUUACAAUACUUUAACAUGUCGAUAUUUUCAUCGAACGUCUACAGUUAUGUCAAAUCCGGAUGGUUGUGAACGUAAACACGGAGUAGGGCCGUCCUGAAGCUAGGCGUGGGUCUUUAUUUCUAUAACAGUCCAUUCUCUGAGCCUCCCCUUUCCUGAGAUACCCCUUUGCUGCUGCCUGGACCCUUUAAUAAGGAAGGCUGAGUACGCUCAGGCUGGUGGUUCUUGAGUUAUCGGGAUGCUGCGUGACCUAACAACAGUGCUGGUGGGGGGGUCGAAAGGCCUGCCCCCUCUUCUAUCCUUUCUCUUCAAGCUGGCCUGGGCGUCUCGAGUUCGUCUGCCCCUCAUCAUUGCCGUCGGGUUCAUGGUUACUAAUAUUCACUGCGGCUUGAGAUCAAUGUCAAUAUAGAGGUGGGGGAGGAUGAAGCAGCUGUGGCCGGGGUGGAGCAGCGGACCGGGGAGGAGGAGGAGGAGGAGGAGGAAGAGGAUGACGUGGAGGUGUAAGGUGGUGGAAGAGAUGGUGGUGGUGUUAAAUCAUGUAGCGGUGGAAGAGAAGAGAAUAGUUUGGAAGAUGGUGUGUAAGAAUAAGGAGGAAGAUGAUGAUGGAGGAAAGGUAGUAAGAGAUCAAGAAUUUAAAAAGCAAUGAAUAGAUUCAAAGAUAAAGCGGAGAAUUACCUGGAAAAAAAGAAAAUGAACUAAAAAGAAGUGGAAAAAAGGUUAACAAAUUAGAGAAAAAGAGAAUAUUUGAAUAGGAGGAAGAGGAGGAGGAGGAGUUCAUGGUGAUGUGUCGACCUUAACUGUGAUAUUACUGUAUCUCCUCCAGGAUUUGCCACUUGGAUAAAAGCAGGUCAUUUCCGGAGGUGCCUCUUCUUAAUAUUUCUCUUGUGAACCAGCUGCCCAGUGAUGUGCCUUCAGAUGUCCUCCUUUCACACACACACACACACACACACACACACACACACACACACACACACACACACUGCAUCCUAUUCACCGUCUUGUCUCCUCCCUGUAUCUCCUUCAUUUGGGCUUGUCCGGCUGGCUCACCUGUACUAUCUGUAGGAACUUGGACAUUAAUCACUGUACCUGUUUUAUUAUGUAGCUUAGGAAUAUGAUAAUCUACUUAUGCUCUCAUUGUAUUACCUUCAUUACUUAUCAACCAUGCAAUGUGUUUGUUUUUUUCUAUAUCUUUCCUUUUUAUAAUAUUAAUGUUAGUGUGGUUGUUUUGAUUGUGGAAUUGUGUAUUAAAAUGAUUGAAUUUGAAAAGUACAUUAAGUGAUUUUUUAUCUUUCUUUUUACUACUGUGUAAAUUAAAACUUGUAGAGUAAGAUAUCAAAAUGUAAAGAAAUUUUUGGAUGUUUUAACAGUAUAAUGAUAAUAAUUUAAAAGUACAAGAUCACAUACCACUAAAAUGUGUAUAAAUUCAUCAUCUUAAGGCUGUAGUUUGCAGUGUGUUCAUAAUAUUCCCAUGCCUGGUAACCUAGUAUGUAUAUGAAGCAAGUUACUGCACACAUCAUAACUUUACUACCAUUACUUCUGCAAGAGGUUUCCUGGAUGCAAUACUUGUUAAGGUUAGCUUGCUUCAAAUGUUAGGCUUAUGUAUAGUGGAUGCUGUGACAGUCUAAUGUGUUACUCAGAGUGUUGGCUGUUCAUUACCUCCCAAAACUCUCUGAAAAAAAAUAAUAAAAUAAAAAAUAACAGGUUCAUAUUCUGACACAAUGGACAAUGAUUACAGUGGCAACAGUUGGCAGCCCUGCACACUAAGGAUGGCUGUCGUACACCAUGACCUGGGAAAUAGAUCGGCAUAUCAGUAUUACGUCAAGUCAGGCAUGCCAACAUUACUGACACCAAGCAUGAUCAAGGACCAGGUCUCAUAUUGUUCUUUAAGAGAGCUUUAUGAGCUAAUGUUCCUGUCCACACUGUUGCCAUAAGCUUUGUGUAUCUUAACAAGUACUGAAUGGAGGAAGCUAAAGUACUCUUAAUAAAUACUGCAUGUAUAACACCUCUUAACCUUGCACCAGUAAUACCAGGCUACGUAAGGCAAUAACAGAUUAACUAAACUAACAAGAUUUAUGAGAAGAAACGUGAAAUAUUGAUAGGUGUUCAUGGGUUGUGUCUGCUAUAAUUAAUAAAGUUCUGUAUUGAAAUGCUAUGGUGUUUCUAUGUGUGUAUGCACCUCCUUGUGUAGUGAUGGGGCAGGAAAAAAAAUAAAACAAAAAAACAAAGCACUGUUAUAUUAAGAAAAGUGAAAUGUUAACCAGAAAAUACUCGGGUGAUGAAGUUUGUCGUUGAGUGUAUUGUUCACUAUGUUGCUACUGGCACUAGUGAACAGUCAUGUGAGGUGAUGAGCAAAGUGACAUGAGUAGUGUGGCAUCAAAGACCAUACUGUUGUGAUGAAUGUUGUGAAGUGUCAGUACAGUGUCAUCUAAUUCAUAUACAAGUGUGCUGAGAUGGAGGAAUUACGAAUUGCAGAACAUACUUCGUUCAAUAAGAAAAAAGGAUGUAGAAUUGUAGCUGAUGCUUAAUUCAUAAACAUAAUGUAAACAGCAAAAAUAUUGAUUCAUACCUAAAAAUAAUAUUGUGAAUUGCUUAUAAUACUAAAUUCAUCUAGAAAAUACUUCUUUCACAUUCAUACAAAAGAGAAUAUAUAAAUAAGCACAGAGAAUAACAAUUGAUUCAAACCAGUAGUAUUCCACAUUCCCUUUCAAGAAAUUAAGAAAAAAAAUAAAAAAGGAAAAAAAAAUCCAAAACAAAGCACUAAUUCAAGAACAUACAUACAAGAACAUACAUACAUACAUACAUACUUCCAAUAUUUCAAUAUACAGAUGAAAAAAAAAAAAAGUAAAUAACUAAAAAAAAAAAAGAGGAGGAUAAUCAAACACAAAAAUGCAUAGAAAAUGUAUCAGAGUAUUAAUAGAUAAGAAUGUUUGAGGCGCCGGGACAGACAGAGUGUGUGUCUGUCUCUCGCCGUCUCCUUACUGACUAACAACUGUACUGGUAGAAUAUGUUUGGGAUUAAUUGGCUUGUAAUCUUGGGGGCUUUAGUGCAACUAUCUACACCAUUAUGAACUGCUGUCAAUAUAAGCAGGAGGAAAGAUGUAAUACAUGUAAUGUGAUACAGAAAACAGUUUGGGGGGACAACACAGACAAACAGACAGACAAACGUACAGACAGAUAGAUCCCCUAAAGCAAGUUAUCUGAUAAACUCAUAAAAACAUAAUGAUUUAUAUACAAAACAGAUGAUGCUUGAUAAAAAAAAUUGAAAAAAAAAUUGGAAUGAGUAAGACAGGAAACAAGAACAUGUAUGCACGUUUAUCAUCGAUAUGUAACGCACACACAAACACAAAAAUGCACUAAUCCCUUCUAAACUCAACAAUAGUGCUAUCUUGGACAUUUAAACAAAAAACACACACACACACACACACACACACAUACGCAUUCUAACCCCUCACAGAUCCAACAAAACCCACUGACAUCAUCUCACUCCUCUACACACGCCUAAUAAACAAUAAUGCCAGACCUACAAAACACAAAGACAUCCCCUUAUACUAACGCUUGGUAUCAGGAACCCUGCCACUCUAUCGGCAAACUGGGAGCCGGAGGGAACCUGUUGGGCAGCAGUAAAGGCCCCAGUGUUUGCUGCUCCCUCCAGUGACUAAUGUGCACCACUCAUCACAACCCAAGGAGGACAGGCGGGUUACUACACCAGUCACUGAUCCUCCACCCUGGUGACUACAAAGAAAACUAACCCUCUCACUUUUUGAUGUCUUCUUCCUUCCAUUUGGUAGGCUAUAUGAUAAGAAAAGACAGUAUGGAAGAAAAGUAAGAUAAAAAAGACAUAUACAUAAUCUUUGUAACUGAUUCUCCACCCUGGUCACUUUAAUGCUAUCUGACCCUCUCACCGUUGAUGUCUUCCUCCUUCCAUUUGGUAAGCUAUAUGAUGAAGAAGGACAGUAUGAAAAAAAAAGACAAAAUACAAAAAAUACAUAAUCUCUGUUGCUGAUUCCCCACCCUGGUCACUGUAAUGCUAUCUGAUCCUCUCACUGUUGUUUUGUUACCUGAUGUCUUUUUCCCUCCAUUCGGUAGGCUAUAUGAUGAAAAAGAGACAGUAUGGAAAGAAAAGUAAGAUAAAAGAAGACAUAUACUUAAUUUUUGUUACUUGACACAUCUGUACUUCAUCACAGUAUGCUUCUUUUCACCUCACAGCUAUUUCUGAGGAGUGUAUGUACUAGAUUGGUACUAAUUGGAAAAUCUAUUGUCUUAACCUUUUUCUUUUUUCAUAUGUACAUAUAAAUUUUGUGGCAAGCUUCAGUUACUAUGAUCUGUUGUACAUUGCAGUGAAAAGGUUGAUGCUAGACUCUUAUAUAGUUCCACUCAAUAACUAAUGCAAAUUAUGCUAUGUUAAUGUAUUUCUUUUUGCCUUCAGUGGUGGUGGAUUGUUUACCUUAAUUAACAGCUGAUUCAAUAAUUACUCUGCGUACAUAUACUACACCCACUAAUAUUCUUUAAUUUGAGCAUAUGUAUAGGAAACAUAAUAGGUAUAUACUAUUCAUCUAUGUAUGUCAUCUCUAGUAUUGCACUUUGCCAAUCAUUCAUGCUUCCCAUAUCACCUUCAGCAUUUUCAGUACACCUCCAUCAACACCAGACUCUCAUGUCAUCUGUGUAACUCCCACACCACCUCCACAACCACCACCACCACCACCUCAAAACUGUUGCUGACUCCCUGACUAGCUGCAUCUCUACUGCUCUUUUCCCCUCUCCUACCACCACCACCAUCAACACACAAGGGGAAACACUCAACAAACACUCACCACUCAUCACUCACUCAUCACUGAUUCACCUGACUCAUCACAUCAACAAGUGGCAACACUUCAGGGCAGGUUUGGUAACAGGAUACAGUACAGCCCUGUGCAGCACACCCUGGUACAGCCGCUACUGGCUGUCAGGAAUGCUCUCAGCUACUGAACAAGCCUGGCAUGUAACAAAGUCUGCAUUGUUAUAAGAAGCAAAAAAAUAACAUCUCUGCAGAGCCUCCCAGCCACAGCACACAGUGAAAUAGUCUUCACUAAAUAUGGCAGAAAGUCAGGAAAGAUACAGUGAGAGUUGUACAAAUAUAUAUUACUGAAUGACUGCCUUUAUUUAGUGACCUGAGUUUGCUAAAAAGACUUCACUAUAACAACCAUCAGAUAGAGCCAGUGUUUGGACAUAAGCUGGCCUUGCUCCAUGGUGCCUCACUACAGCAACAGCAAGGGUUUACUGCAGUGGUAGUGGUUGGUUGUGGCUGUGGUGGCUGCAGGGAAGUACCACAUCUCUUAAUCAGGCAACAGAGUCUAGCUAAGGCUGAAAAUUCACUGAUUACUAACACACAGAUUCCCAUUCAUACCAAAUCUAAAUAGUUUUUUCUCUUAUAGUAAAAAAGUAAUGACAUUAAAAUAUGUAGGUUUGUAUACACUGUACAUUAUACAACAGGGAACGAGUAAUACAUUCACGAGAACUCGUAUACAUGUAACUGUUAGUCCAGGAGUCAAAAUACAGUCUAGUCCUUCAAUACUGCGGGUUUUGGUUCAGACUCCCCAGACUGCACAGCGGACUCUUAGUUCACGCCACAGUGCCGUGCCAUCCAGCAGACAUGUGGCACCACUGACACUCUCACUCACUGGCCCUGCACUGCUUCAGGAAAACAAAGGAAGUAUUGCAGAAGAGCAAAGAAAUAAAGGUUACUCUCUCUCUCUAAAUGUAACACUCAUGAAGAGAGUUUUAUCUAUUGUCCUUUUUUUAACACAAGCAAGAUUCACAUUCACAUAUUAAAAGAAUAAUCUGAUGAGAUGUUAGUGGCAGAAAAAUGAAUAUGAAGUGCUAAUUAACACUUUAAUUUUGUUUUGUUUCAUAAACUUGCCACCAAGAGUUACUCCAGUGAAGCACCAUCUCAUUAUCAUUGUGAGUCACUUGGAAGAUGAAGUAUUGGAGAAUGAGAAGGAAGGACUAAAGGCAAAUUUCAAUCUAUGGACGUAUGAUUUACCUUUACAUUACAAUGCAGGUAAGAGUGAAGGGCACUGGCAGGAGGAGUGAAUGGUCUGUGGCAGGACUGAUUGGAAGACAUCAUUGGUGUCUUCCUGAAUGUGCUCCUUGUGUCACCACUUGCUUCAUUCUCACUAAACUCUUAUAACAGUGAAUAUUGAUUACACAGGUUAAAGUUAUCAUUAACAGACUAGCUAAGAACAUGUGGUAUACUAUGCAUUUAUACAAUAGAAAAAAAAGAGGAUGAGAGGACAAAAAACAUUUGCUACAUACAUUUUUCUUACCAGUUUCUGAACUACAUUGAGAAAAAGAGGAAGAAGAAACUGGGAAGACAUGAUAUUACUAAUACAUACUUUAAAAUACAAGAAAUAAAAUAAGAUAAAAACAACAAGGAAAAAAGAUAUAGUAUAGCUACUUACAUUCUGUCAAUAGCAAGAAAUAGAAAUAAGACAGAUGAGAGAAAGAUACCAUACCAAAACAAACAUCUCUCCAACUUUCCAACUGUUACAAUAAAGAUAGGAGGAAAAAAAGACAAUACUACACAUCCUUCAACAAUUAUAGAUGAAAAGGACAUAAAUAAUAGAGACAGAAGAGAGACAAUACUGCUACAGACACUUGAGGACCUUCGACAAUUUGAAAAAAAAAAAAAAGAUGAAUGACUAAAUAAUCAAUAACCACAAACAAAACAACAAUAAUAACAACAACAACAAAGACAUACACAUACA